CUACAUCUGAAUCCAUCCGUCCAUAUUAACACUGCAAUAUUAAGUGAAUAUUGGACCCAUAAUUAUGUGUGUGUUAUAUUCUUCACAUAAGACCACUACUACAUUUGGAGCUCUAAUUGGUUGCUGAUGAUGGAUGGUGCAUUAACACUUCAGGAUAAAGCAGUUAGCUGAUGAAUGAUUGUCAACCUCUACCUUCCUCCUUGUGAGAGCUACAAUAUGUUUUAACUGUCAACAGUGAGAGUUUUGUGCUGGCUGACUUUAGCCUAAGUACAAUAGUGAUCAACACUGUGAACUGUGAUUUUAUAUUGUGACUUCUGUGUGCAUUGACUGGCUAUUCAAUUGGAAUUAUUCCACCAGCAAUUGGUAUCUUAAAAAAUAUAUAAAAAAUGGAUUAUCAGGGACUCGAAUCAGGGACGUCUUACAUGAUAAGAGAGGGACACACCGGUACACCACGGAUCCACUUCCUUCUAUUGGAAAUAAUAUGCAAACAACAGGUCACAUAUGUUUAUAUUCACGUUUGAUAUUGUCAAAGUUUUACAAAAUGCAUGGUGUCUAAUUCAGCAUUUUAUUAAACCAUUCUAAUAGAUGAAAUAAGAAUAAAAAGUCCACCGACAA